AUGUCCCUGGACGGCCGCAUCGACCUUGUUAAAACAGUGUUGUCUGCUAUGCCCAUAUUCCAGAUGAUAGCCCUGCAUAUGCCGGCUUGAUUGAUCAAGAUGAUCGAUAAGGUGUGCCGCGGGUUCCUUUGGGGAGGGCAGGAGAUUUCCUCGGGCGGCAAAUGCCUCGCCAAUUGGAAGCUGGUUUGCCGGCCGACUGAAUUCGGUGGCCUCGGUGUCCUCGACCUGGCCAAGCACAGCGUUGCUUUGCGUGUCCGAUGGCUAUGGCAAGCUUGGACGGACCCUAACAAGCCAUGGCUCGGACUCGAGCUUCCGGUCGACCCGACGGUUAGAGCCCUCUUCAAUGCCUCCGUCAAAUUUCAUCUCGGAGAUGGGGCACGGCUAUCCUUCUGGAGGGAUCCCUGGCACAAUGGAGUCUGUCUCCAACUGCGCUUCCCUCACCUCUUUCGACAGUGA
rnacentral:rRNA from 1 species